rnacentral:rRNA from 1 species
UGGGGAAUAUUGCACAAUGGGCGCAAGCCUGAUGCAGCCAUGCCGCGUGUAUGAAGAAGGCCUUCGGGUUGUAAAGUACUUUCAGUCGGGAGGAAGGUGGUAAGGUUAAUAACCUUAUCAAUUGACGUUACCGACAGAAGAAGCACCGGCUAACUCCGUGCCAGCAGCCGCGGUAAUACGGAGGGUGCAAGCGUUAAUCGGAAUUACUGGGCGUAAAGCGCACGCAGGCGGUUGAUUGAGUCAGAUGUGAAAUCCCCGGGCUUAACCCGGGAAUUGCAUCUGAUACUGGUCAGCUAGAGUCUUGUAGAGGGGGGUAGAAUUCCAUGUGUAGCGGUGAACUGCGUAGAGAUCUGGAGGAAUACCGGUGGCGAAGGCGGCCCCCUGGACGAAGACUGACGCUCAGGUGCGAAAGCGUGGGGAGCAAACAGG